rnacentral:rRNA from 1 species
ACGCUGGCGGCGUGCUUAACACAUGCCAGUCGAACGGGAUCCGGGCUUUCGGGUUUGGUGAGAGUGGCGAACGGGUGAGUCACACGUGAGUAACCUGCCCCCUUCUUUGGGAUAACGUCGGGAAAUCGGCGCUAAUACUGGAUAUUCUUGCUGCAUCGCAUGGUGUGGUUUGGAAAGGGUUUCUGGUGGGGGAUGGGCUCGCGGCCUAUCAGCUUGUUGGUGGGGUGAUGGCCUACCAAGGCUUUGACGGGUAGCCGGCCUGAGAGGGUGUCCGGCCACACUGGGACUGAGACACGGCCCAGACUCCUACGGGAGGCAGCAGUGGGGAAUAUUGCACAAUGGGCGCAAGCCUGAUGCAGCGACGCCGCGGGAGGGAUGACGGCCUUCGGGUUGUAAACCUCUUUCAGUAUGGAACAAGGAUCCUUCGUUUGGGGGGUUUGAGGGUACGUGCAGAAGAAGCGCCGGCUAACUACGUG